rnacentral:tRNA from 1 species
GCCUGGGUGGCACAGUGGUUGAGCGUCUGCCUUUGGCUCAGGGCGUGAUCCCGGUGUUGUGGGAUCGAGCCCCACAUCAGGCU